rnacentral:lncRNA from 1 species
AGUGCCCGGCUUAGAGGACCAGGAAUGGGUAAUCACCAGCCGUACGCUGGAGGCUGGAGCCGCUACACCGUGGCUCGCCUCGCUGCGACUGGUGGUAACCGCGACCGAGACGGCAGUGCGGCGGAAGCGUUACCAUGAGGCUAAACAACAUAAUUAUAACAAGUUAUUUUAAACUGAAGAAAACUUAACUUUGAUUUGUCCCAGCUACUCCGGAGGCUCAGGCACCAACCCCUUCCUCAGGUCAGUGCACCGCUGUGUGACCUCCAAGCGGCCACAGCUCCCAGACAAGCACUCGGUUACCACCUUGCUCAACACCUGUGCCCGGAGCAUCCACAAGGCCUGCCUCUCAGCUGCAUAGCCAGGACUGCAGGGAUGGCCCGCAGCCUCAUCGGGGCCAAGGACGCAUGCCUCCUGUCAGACACUUCUAGGUGUUGGUGUCCAUGGAGAGCCUGGAGUUAGACUCUUACAUUUAAAGAAAAAGUAACAAGCCUUAAAUUUAAAGAAAAACCUACAGACCUGGAGACCAGGAGCUCUCACAAAUGUAUUUUUACAUCUGCAAGAAAUUAACUAGUCGUCAAAUGCUUAGUAGCACAGAAAUUCUCAAGUGGUUGCAGGAAAUUUUGACCUGCAGGAAUAAAUUUCUUCUUUAAAAUAAGCAGGCAGAUAGAAAUUCCUGUCACUUUCUCCUUUUUUAUGGAGUAGGAUGUGAUACUCCUUCUAGUGGAAAUACCAGUCAAAUGUCCGUGGGUCUUGAAGUGUCACUGCAUACUCCUGAGCCUCUCUCCAGAAGGGAAAAGGGAACUCCUCUAUGGAUAGUGCAGCAGGAUGCAGCGGAGCCCCCCGACUUGCCGACAAGCGCAGACCAGUCUAGAAGUGGCCCUGUACAUGUUUCUGCAGAACCCUGACACUGAAGCUGUUCUGGUUGCCAUGUCCUGUUUCUGCCACCUCUGUGAGGAAGCAGAUACCCAGUGUGGGGUGGAUGAAGUGUCAGUGCAUAACCUCUUGCCCAACUCUAACACAUUCAUGGAGUUUGCCUGUCAGCAAUGUGAUGUCAACAGGCUUGGGAAGAUACACAUGCAAAAUGGGAACAAGCAACAAAACUAAUCCUUAGCUAUCCAAAAGCCCAAGUGGAAGAUGGCCAGGCUGUUGAAAGCUUCACAAGACCAUUGUUAAGAGGCGAAUGUCCCAUGUGAGUGGAGGAGGACCCAUAGAUCUGUCUGACACAGACUCCCUACAGGCAUGGAUCAACAUGACUGGCUUCCUUUGUGCCCUUGGGGGAGUGUGC